UACGUAGGGUGCAAGCGUUGUCCGGAAUUAUUGGGCGUAAAGAGCUCGUAGGCGGCUCGUCGCGUCGGCUGUGAAAACCUGGGGCUCAACCCCGGGCCUGCAGCCGAUACGGGCGACUAGAAUCGGUAGGGGAGACUGGAAUUCCUGGUGUAGAGGUGAAAUCGUAGAUAUUCGCAAAGAACACCAGUGGCGAAGGCGGCUCACUGGCCCCGGAACU
rnacentral:rRNA from 1 species